rnacentral:rRNA from 1 species
AUUGAACGCUGGCGGCAGGCCUAACACAUGCAAGUCGAACGAGUGGCGGACGGGUGAGUAAUGUCUGGGAAACUGCCUGAUGGAGGGGGAUAACCACUGGAAACGGUAGCUAAAACCGCAUACGAUUAGAUGUGGCCAGCUGGGAUGAGCUAGUUGGUGGGGUAACGGCUAAAAAGGGCGCCGAUCCCUAGCUGGUCUGAGAGGAUGACCAGCACCACUGGAACUGGGACACGGCCCAGACUCCAACGGUAGGAGGCAGUGGGGAAUUUUGCACAAUGGGGGAAGUCCUGAGUCAGCCAUGCGUCGGGUAUGAGGAGGGCCUUCGGGUGGUAAAGUACGUUCAGCGGGGAGGCGUUACCCGCAGAAGAAGCACCGGCUAACUCCGUGCCAGCAGCCGCGGUAAUAC